UACUUAUCUAGAGUGACCGAGGGAAAGGCCCGAUGACGUCCAGCAACCUCCUGAAAUAGGAAGGUGCCAAAUCCUACAGAAUGAAUUCCAUUCUGAAAGAUAAGUC
rnacentral:ncRNA from 2 species